rnacentral:lncRNA from 1 species
GGGUAGGGAAGCUCCAGUACCACCAACUGGAAAGACUGGGAAUGCCUAGUAGCUGGUACUGGCCAUUGUCGUAGGCUUUGUCCACUUUGACAAACUGAAGACGGGGACUCGACUCACCUUCGCCAGCCACAGGAGGACCUCCAGACGAGGUUAGGUCGACUUCAUGGUAACUUUAGAUCUUGAAACCUCACAGGAUUUUUCUUCUCUUCCCCUUGAUCUCUCUUCCGCUUACUCAACAGGACCGGACUCGCCGCCUUUCUUUCCCGUCAGAAAGGGAUCCCUUGCGGACAAGACCGAAUGGCCCCUAAGGCUUCUCUGCAGGUCCAACCGAAACAGGCCUGAAGUUCCAGGAUGGGCGAGAGGAUCCUCUUUGAGCGAAACCAGCCUUCUGCCUGGCUGGCCCUGGUCAACACACUCGGAAGAGGCCGAUUUGGAGGACAGAACGGAAGAAAAGACCUAAAGUAGAUGAUCCUCAUCCAAUCACUUAAAGGCCUGAAUAGAACCAAAAGUCUGACCUGCCCAUGAGUAAGAGAGAGCUCCUUCUGCCUGAUUGCUUCAGCUGAGAUAUCAGCCUUUUCCUGCCUUUGGAAUUGAACUGCAACACUGGCUCUUCCUGGGCCUCAAGCCUGCCAGCUUUUGAACUGUAAUCACACCAUCAUCUCUCCUGGUUCUCAGGCCUUUGGACUCAAAUCAGAAACACACCAUGGGCUCUCCUGUGUCUCAAGCUUGCCAACUGUGAUCUUGAGACUUCUCAGCCUCCAUAAUCACAUGAGUCAAUUGUUGGUUCUGUUUCUCUGGAGAACCCUAAUCCAUCACUUUACAUAUUUCUUCCAUUACACAUAUUGUUUCCCAG